rnacentral:rRNA from 1 species
UACGUAGGGGGCAAGCGUUGUCCGGAUUCAUUGGGCGUAAAGAGCGUGUAGGCGGCCAGGUAGGUCGGUUGUGAAAACUGGAGGCUCAACCUUCAGAGGUCGACCGAAACCAUCUGGCUAGAGUCCGGGAGAGGAGAGUGGAAUUCCUGGUGUAGCGGUGAAAUGCGCAGAUAUCAGAAAGAACACCCGUGGCGAAAGCGGCUCUCUGGAACGGUACUGACGCUGAGACGCGAAAGCGUGGGGAGCGAACAGG